UACGUAGGGUGCAAGCGUUGUCCGGAAUUAUUGGGCGUAAAGAGCUCGUAGGCGGUUUGUCGCGUCGAAUGUGAAAACCCGGGGCUCAACCCCGGGCCUGCAUUCGAUACGGGCAGACGUAGAGUUCGGUAGGGGAGUCUGGAAUUCCUGGUGUAGCGGUGAAAUGCGCAGAUAUCAGGAGGAAUACCGAUGGCGAAGGCAGGUCUCUGGGCUGACACUGACGCUCAUGCACGAAAGCGUGGGGAGCAAACAGG
rnacentral:rRNA from 1 species